GACGAACGCUGGCGGCGUGCCUAAUACAUGCAAGUCGAGCGGAGUGUGAAAAGGAGCUUGCUUCCUUUCACACUUAGCGGCGGACGGGUGAGUAACACGUAGGCAACCUGCCCUCAAGCCUGGGAUAACUACCGGAAACGGUAGCUAAUACCGGAUAAUUUCUUUCUUCUCCUGAGGAGAGAAUGAAAGGCGGAGCAAUCUGCUGCUUGGGGAUGGGCCUGCGGCGCAUUAGCUAGUUGGUGGGGUAACGGCCCACCAAGGCGACGAUGCGUAGCCGACCUGAGAGGGUGAACGGCCACACUGGGACUGAGACACGGCCCAG
rnacentral:rRNA from 1 species